AUGGUACAGCUGUACAACUAGUGAACUAAUAUUGAUAUUUGUUAUUAUAACUGAAUGCCAUCCUUGUUUUGGAUCAUACUUGCUUUUACCUAAUGUCCUUUUUCUUUUUCAGGAUCCCACCCAGGAUCCCAUAGUACAUUUAGUUGUCAUGUCGCCUUAGACUCUUCUUGACUGUAAAGUUUCUCUGACUUUCCAUGUUUCUGAUGACCGUGAUGGUUUUCAGGAGUGCUGGGCAGGUGUUUUGUAGCUUGUUCCUCAAGGGGGAUAUGCCUGAUGUUUUUCUCAUGGUUCAACUGGGGUUAAGGUUUGGGGAGGAAGACCACAGUGGAGAAGUGUCAUUCUCAUCACAUCAUACCAAGUACAUACUGUGACCAUAAGUUAUCACUGUUGAUGUUGACCUUGAUCACUUGGCUGAGGUACUGUUUCUUCACUGUCAAUUUACUCCCCUGCCCCCCAUCUCCAUCUUUUCAUAUUAGUCUCUUUGGAAGCAAGUCACCAAGUGUAGUCCACACUUAAGAGGUGGGGAGUUAUGCUCUAAGAUUGAGUAUCUACAUAAAUUAUUUGGAAUUCUUAUGUAUGGGAGAUUUGUCUCUUUUGUCCUAGUUAUUUAUUUAUUCAAUCACUUAUUUAUAUUAGUAUGAGCUCAUGGAUAUUUAUUCUUUAGGUUAUAAUCUAAUGUUAUUUAUUUUGUUGCUUAAAUUGUUCUAGCUUUGGCCAUAGGGAGUACAAAAAGUUGGCUCCUAUGUCUCUAUGACAUAUCCUGAUCCUUUUUAUUUUGAGUGUUUGUUUUUAACUUUCUGGCAUUACAGGAUGUCCCAGGCUCAUCUUGAAUAUUCCCUGCUCCAGCCCUAGAACCAGCCAUUUCUCCAUAAAAAAAUGUCAAGUAGAGACUGGAGAUACAUCCUGAAAUGAAUUAGGAGAUAAUCCUGAAAUGAAAGGCCAGGCUGAACUGAAUUGAGACGCUCCUUCCUGCAUUUGAGAAUGCCCAUCUCAUCGAGGCAGCUUCCUCUACAACUAAGGACGGACAGUGGUACCAGGAUGCCCACUUUUCUGGCUGUGAUGGAGCUUGCAGGAAACUUGAGGUCUGGGAUGUUCAUGGCAGCACCGGUGUGAUGCAUCCAGUGCCCGGGCUGGUGGCCCAGGUCUCAGCGGUGCAGGCUGGGUGCUCUCGCUGCCAGCACUGCAUUUGGAUUUGGAGUCCUGUUCACGAGCGAGUCUGGGGCUCCUGACCUCCCAGUGAUUCUGUAAGCUACCUGACGUAUAUUCUGCUUAAAUCAUUCAAAGUUGAUUUCUUUUGUUUUCAACCAAGAACCUUGACUAAGGCAACCCCCAUGUGUUAAAAUUUAUGAGAGGUCAGAAAUCUUGUCUUCUUUCUUUGACAACUUCCCAGAGUCCAGAAUUCCUUAAAAGUAGUAUGUGUUCAAUAAAUACUUGCUAACGGAGCAGUUCCCAGCUGCUCCAGGUGGUUGAGCCAUGAGGGAAGCAGUUGGGCCACUGAGUCCCAAAACCCAAAGCAGGAGGAGGUUCCUGGCUGACAGGAGCCAUUGGCUCAAUGGUGUGAAGGCAACAAGUGCUGCCUGAAAAAGUCACAUUACAUCCAAGGAUGGGAAAGAUCCUUGAGAUUUAAGAAUGAGAAGGGUGGAAAAGGACGGCUUAACCUUCCCAGAGGAAUGGAAGGGGAAGGAAGGGAGUGAAAUUCUCUUGUUUGCUCUGUAUCAGGAGGCAGCAAAGCUGGGUACUUCAUAUCCACAUACACAACACUGACCUCAUAUCAUCUUUACAGUGAGUCCCACUGAAACUUGAGGAAACUGAGUCUGAGAGACCAUAAAUAAUUUGUCCAGGGUCACAAGGUUAGUAAAUGGCUUAGCUGCACUUUGAAUCCAGGACCAGCUGAUUCCAGCUCUUUUCACGUAACACCACACAGGGCAGGGAGACAGGAAAAAACAAAGGAAAUCAUCAAGCUGAGAAGAAUCUCUCUUCCUUUUGACUUUUCGUAAUUCUUUGUAUUUCUCUUAAGAUGAUACCUUGUACUGAAUAGUUUUUGUUCAGGCUUAGAGUCUGGGCUACUUUUGAAAACUCUGAGGGCAGAGACCACUUCUCUGUCCCCUCUGUCUCUUCCAUGUUGCCUCGUCCCGUGCUUUGAGCUGACCUGACCGCUGGUGCUAGUCCCACAGGGUUCUCCUUCUGUGAGCUCUCCCAAGGUGGCCGCAUGUUCCUUGCUGAAUUACACGUGACUUUCUUUUGCUUUAGUGAAAACGGAGGUUAGGUUGCCAUGGCCGAUUUACUUGAUACUCUCAUUGUUGAAUCUAUUUAUACCACAAGGCUUUCAAGUGCCAAUAAAUUACUUGGCUGUUGA